rnacentral:rRNA from 1 species
AUUGAACGCUGGCGGCAGGCCUAACACAUGCAAGUCGAGCGGAUGAAGGGAGCUUGCUCCUGGAUUCAGCGGCGGACGGGUGAGUAAUGCCUAGGAAUCUGCCUGGUAGUGGGGGAUAACGUCCGGAAACGGGCGCUAAUACCGCAUACGUCCUGACGGUGAAAGUGGGGGAUUUUCGGACCUCACGCUAUCAGAUGAGCCUAGGUCGGAUUAGCUAGUUGGUUGGGUAAAGGCCUACCAAGGCGACGAUCCGUAACUGGUCUGAGAGGAUGAUCAGUCACACUGGAACUGAGACACGGUCCAGACUCCUACGGGAGGCAGCAGUAGGGAAUAUUGGACAAUGGGCGAAAGCCUGAUGCAGCCAUGCCGCGUGUGUGAAGAAGGUCUUCGGAUUGUAAAGCACUUUAAGUUGGGAGGAAGGGCAGUAAGUUAAUACCUUGCUGUUUUGACGUUACCAACAGAAUAAGCACCGGCUAACUUCGUG